AGCGAACGCUGGCGGCAGGCCUAACACAUGCAAGUCGAACGAACUCUUCGGAGUUAGUGGCGGACGGGUGAGUAACACGUGGGAACGUGCCUUUUGGUUCGGAAUAACUCAGGGAAACUUGUGCUAAUACCGAAUGUGCCCUUCGGGGGAAAGAUUUAUCGCCAUUAGAGCGGCCCGCGUCUGAUUAGCUAGUUGGUGAGGUAACGGCUCACCAAGGCGACGAUCAGUAGCUGGUCUGAGAGGAUGACCAGCCACACUGGGAAUGAGACACGGCCCAGACUCCUACGGGAGGCAGCAGUGGGGAAUCUUGCGCAAUGGGCGAAAGCCUGACGCAGCCAUGCCGCGUGAAUGAUGAAGGUCUUAGGAUUGUAAAAUUCUUUCACCGGGGACGAUAAUGACGGUACCCGGAGAAGAAGCCCCGGCUAACUUCGUG
rnacentral:rRNA from 1 species